rnacentral:rRNA from 1 species
UACGUAGGGGGCAAGCGUUAUCCGGAUGUAUUGGGCGUAAAGAGCUCGUAGGCGGCCGUUCGCGUCGGAUGUGAAAGCUCAGGGCUCAACUCUGAGAUGCCAUUCGAUACGGGACGGCUAGAGGUAGGUAGGGGAGAGUGGAAUUCCUGGUGUAGCGGUGAAAUGCGCAGAUAUCAGGAGGAACACCGGUGGCGAAGGCGGCUCUCUGGGCCUUACCUGACGCUGAGGAGCGAAAGCUGGGGGAGCGAACAGG